rnacentral:rRNA from 1 species
UACGAAGGGGGCUAGCGUUGUUCGGAAUUACUGGGCGUAAAGCGCACGUAGGCGGAUAUUUAAGUCAGGGGUGAAAUCCCGGGGCUCAACCCCGGAACUGCCUUUGAUACUGGGUAUCUCGAGUCCGAGAGAGGUGAGUGGAAUUCCGAGUGUAGAGGUGAAAUUCGUAGAUAUUCGGAAGAACACCAGUGGCGAAGGCGGCUCACUGGACUGGUAUUGACGCUGAGGUGCGAAAGCGUGGGGAGCGAACAGG